UAUGCCACAUCAUCAGAGAAGGAGAGGCAAUUGAGGACACGUGUCCUCACCUUUGAAGUUGUUUCGUCUCUUCUUCGAUGUUCAAGCGCCAUAGACCAAGGAGACCGAUCUAACCCCCGAUCUAAUCCUCAAUAUUUUACUUUAAUUCUGCUAUUAAUAGCGUCUGUACCAUUUCCCCCACUUUCUCUCAUAAAUCCAAGGUAACCGAUUGUAGUAGUGACUAUAAAUGUGUUCCUUUCCAGCGAUGAACAACCACAAUCCAACGAAAUCCGAAAGGCCAAUCUUUGUUCAGAAUCAACUCCAACUAUGGCGACGUCGAACUGUCCUUGCCGAUGUACAAACACCGCAGAGGUCCGUCUGAAAUAUGAUGUGAAGAGCACUAAGAAGCUUUGUGUUGUAUGUCUCUUCUUCUGUUUGUAUCCUUUGAAUUGAUGUUUUUGGCAUACACAUGUUGCAAGUCCUUUUUGGGUUCUUUAGUUUAUGCUUGAUUCCUGAGUUGCAAGUGACCAAUAAUGAUUAGUGUUCGUUAUGAAGUUCUUUCUAUUCAUUUAUUGGGCUUGCCAACGUUUGUUCUCUAUGAGAAUGAGAUAAUAUCAUAUAGUUCCUGUUUGAUGUUUUCAGGCAAUGAAGACGGAAUACCUAUUCUCUUCAGCUUGGUUUGAGGUGGAAAAAAUAGAAAUUUAUGAAUGAUCUCUAUGUUGAAGUCUUAGACAGUUGAAUUUAUGUGUUGUACUAACGGGUCUUGCUUCUUCCUCGACAUCCUUGCCAAUGAAGAAUACUUGGGAAUCCGAAGAAAACAGGUUAAGAAUCAGUAGUGUAUCUUAUUAUAACGAGAUUAAAUUUUUACUUUUUAUUGACAUGAAAAAAGAGUCGACAUGUAGAGGAAAGAAAGACGAACAGAACAUAGGAUUUUCAAAUAUCCUCUUCUUUCUUUGUUCUUCUCAUGGUUUGUUAUCUUGAUCAUAAAUCACAGAAAGUUCACAUUUUUAAAAUUAUUUGCUCUUAUUUUUAAUGGGGUUGAAAUAUAUUCACGGUUCUGCUUAGGAAUGAUCCGAGUUUUGAUUGUAUUCAUGAUUAUCUUGUCCUUUAUGAAUGAGUCUCUUGCUCUGUAUAAAGACAGACUUUUAGGUAAUAUAUGUGCAGUCACAACAGCGAAUAAGACACAGACCGCACUGGAGUUGCUGAGGAAUAACAGGAAAAAGUUUGUUCUCGUGAUCAGCGAUCUUGAAAUGGACUUACCUGUCAUUACGAUCUAAACUAUGUGAUGGAAGAAGUCAAGUAUGGUGCCUGUGACUAGCUCCUUAAACCAGUUCGAAUUGAGGAGCUCAAGAACAGAUGGCAACAUGUGGUGAGGAAAAUCAAGUUAAGAAGAUGAAGAGCAUUUUGUAAAGAUCAUCUUGAAGUGGAAGAAGACGAAAGAGGAAAUGAAAACGAUGACACGACGGCUCAAAAAAACCUCGUGUAAUUUGGACGCUAGAGCUGCACAACAAGUUCCUAGCUCGUCUUCUAACAACACAAGACGGGAACACAAUGAACACCAACUGGUUUCAGAAUGCUUAGGUUACGUAGCGCCUGACUAGAGUUUCAGAACUAAAGGGUCAACGAGAAAUACGAUGUUUACGGGUUUGGAGUUCUGAUACUCGAACUCCUGAUUGGUCGGAGACUCGUGGAGUACAGUGAAGACAUCUUUGUGAUACUGAGAGACCAUGUUCGAGUUUUAUUAGAACAAGGGAAUGUGUUGGAGUGUAUUGAUCCUACAAUAGAGGAAGAAUACUCUGAGGAUGAGGUUUUGCCUUUUCUGAAACUUGCUCUUGUUUGUACUUCUCAGAUUCCUUCAAAUUUGCCUACAAUGGCAGAGAUUGUUCAGAUCUUGCAGGCCAUCAGUUCUCCUGUUCCUCACCGGAUGCUCGAUAGUUUUUCAAAAAACUCUGUGUUAAUUUGAUUUUCCAUUAUGCAAUAUUUUCUUUCUUUCUUUUUAUUUUUUUUUACUUUUUUGGUAGAGAUUGCUUUCUUUCACAAUGGUAUGUUCUAUCUUUUUCGCUAUGUCAUCAUGAAUCUUCUUGACGAUCAUUGACCAUUGUUAUCAUUAAUAGGUUUUUUCCUGAGAAUUUUCCGUGUGUUUGUAAGUUAGCAAAUAAUACAAACGUACAAUAAUUACUGACA